GCCUCUGUAGCUUAACGGACAGAGCAAGGAGCUUCUACCUCCUUAGGUGCGGGUUCGAAUCCUGCCAGGGGCGC
rnacentral:tRNA from 2 species